GAGAAGGAAGUAAGAGAAUAGGAAGGAGAAUGGGCAUUAUAAGGCUGAGGCUUGAUGCUUGAAGAAACUUCUUAACAGAGUUAUCAGAAUGUGUACAGUUUAUUUGGUAAAGAUUAUAGUUUGAAGAAUUGAACAACACCAGAACAUUCACAAUUGGGAGGUCAAGAAAGGCUUCCUCUGAGUGGGAACUGAAGUUGGAUUUCAAAGCAGAGGUGAAGGAAAUUAAUCUAGAAGCAAAUAGUGAUCUUUGGGACCCAGUCCUGAACUAACUUAGAGGAAUUGGUGCAUUUGGAUGUGAACAUGGAAUCAGCAGUCAUAAUUCAUGUAAAAGCACACAGCAUUGACUUUGACUUGGCUGCAAAGACCUGAAAAUCUACAGCAUUACCCAGGCCAAACAUAGAAAUGAUGAAGAUUUUUUCACCCUUUUCACUGGAAUAAUGUACUUUGGCACCUCCUUCAAACCUAAAGGAUAAACACAUCUUAAUGCAGCUCUUGGAAGAGGCUAUAAUACUAACCAUACUUCCCCUUUGAUCAAGCUGUUCAUCUUCAUGAUUUAUACCAAGCAAGAUUAGCAUGUCAUAUGAGCUUAUGUACUGCACAGUGUGAUAGAAAAGUGGGCAGUGGGAAACAUCAUCACUUAAACAUACAUGGGAUUUGAAAACUUCUCCCUAUCAUAUAAAUGUAAUCCUCAAUUUAAUAUUAAUUUGAAACACUGAUGCUAAGAGACAGUACAGUUUGAUUCUAAAGAAACUCAAGUUGAAAAAUUACCCAUGCAAUGUUUUGUCAAUAAAAAGCUAUAUAAAAAAAGAAAAUAUCAAAAAACCCCUCAAAGAAUCUUCCUACAUGCUCAUAGCAAUGAGGCUAUUUCACGAUUUUCUUAGAAACAUCACUCUCUGAGAAAAAUAAUAUUUUUACAUAAUCCCCAGAUUUACCCAUUUUAUGCUUGUACCUCGUCAUUUUACAAAAGGAAUCCAUAGCACCAUAGAACUAUAGAUUUAGGGCUGGAAAUAUUUUUGUUCAGUUAUUUUUCAGUC